GGGUCCGGACACACUGAGGAUUGACAGGCAAUUAUUGCUAACAGUUUCUUUUUUUAAAAGUACUGUUGCAACAACAAAUAUGCUAGUCCUUUCAUGAUUAUGUGGUAGGUGGUGCAUAGCCGUUCUUAGUUCGUGGAGUGAUCUGUCUGCUUAAUUGCGUUUCAUUAUGGACCAUGUUAUAACAUGUACUAUCUCUUGAUUUUCAAAUUUUCAUUUAUUUGAGAUUUGUUAUAAAGAAGGAGUUUUGGUGCAAUUGGUCCUGAAAGCAACGAACGUGACCGCAUCCUCUUGUUGCCUUUUUAACUUGGCAUUUUUUUUAAUUUAUUUUAACAUUUUUGUCAUAACAUAAGAGGCUUUCAGAAAACUAGAGGGACCGCUGCGACUUUUUUAGACCAGAGGAAGGUUGCGGCAAUAACAGGUCUGUGAUGCCCUUAGAUGUUCCGGGCUGCACACGUGCUACAAUGAUUAUUGCAGUGAGCAUCUCAUUUUAUUUUUUGUGCUUGUCUUGUCUGCGAGUUUAUUCUCAACGACGACAGCCUUAGCCUGCUUCGAAAGUUCGCAGGU
rnacentral:rRNA from 1 species